CUUUCCCUCUUCCACAGAGGCAACAGCUGUGGCAUUCAGCACCAUGCAGUCUCCUUCCACUUGGAGGAGGCAAACUGACAGAUGGACGGAGGUGAUCAUGGGGCUGUGGGAUGCUUUAGAGCAACAACAAGGCAAGUUUGCUUGCAGAGCGGGAUCGUGGCUUGAAGGUAUCUGAUAUCCAUGGCUGGAAGCUGGCUGAUGUCUAGUGGUGGCCCUAGCAGAAGUUGGCAGACAUUGGUGGGUGGAAGCUGGUGGAAUUUGCAUUCAGAAGCCGGUGGGUGUUUUAAGGCUGAAGCAGGCUGGUGUUUGUGGGCGGAAGCGGAUUGAAAUUCACCUUUGUAAGCCAGCUGGCAGGAGCUGGCGGAUAUUUGAGAGUUGAAGGUGGGGUGUGAAUGAACGGGCAGGGAAAGAGGAGUGAAUGUGUCCAUUGGCAUUCUUCUUGGAUAUUGGCUGGCAAAUGCUUGAGCGCAUGAAUGGGAAGUUUUGAAUGUGGUGGAGGCAAAUGGUAGGUGCAUGUGCAUGGAUGAGAGGUGUGAAAGGAAACUGAUUAUGAAUAGACAAAACCCGUGGAAGUUGGAAGGAUGAAGUUAGUGAAGUCACCAGGCAGAAGUCAGUGGUGGUGCUUGGAUGAUGCUGUUGGAUGGUAGCUAUCGCCCUCACUAUCUGUUUUUUUUUUUGCUUUUUGAUUCCAGGAAUAUCUGAAGGUAAUGAAGUUUUCCCAAGACCAUGCAUGAAAGCAACCAUAGGGCUAUCUGAACCCCCACCCCCCACCCCUGCUGAAAGCAAUGAAGAGAAUUGCAGGGCUUAAAUACAAGCCAGCUU